rnacentral:rRNA from 1 species
AACGAACGCUGGCGGCGCGUUUUAGGCAUGCAAGUCGAACGGUAGAAAGGUGCUUGCACCUUUUGAGAGUGGCGAACGGGUGAGUAACACGUAGAUGAUCUACCUUUUAGUCGGGGAUAGCCUGUGGAAACACAGGGUAAUACCGGAUGAGACUGUAUGGCCGAGGCUAUACAGUGAAAGGGGCUAAGGCCCCGCUGAAAGUUGAGUCUGCGGCUCAUUAGCUAGUUGGUGGGGUAAAGGCCUACCAAGGCGACGAUGAGUAGCCGGCCUGAGAGGGUGGACGGUCACACUGGGACUGAGACACGGCCCAGACUCCUACGGGAGGCAGCAGCUAAGAAUCUUCCGCAAUGGUCGAAAGGCUGACGGAGCGACGCCGCGUGGACGAAGAAGGCCGGAAGGUUGUAAAGUCCUUUUUUCAGAGAAGAAUAACGUGUGGAGGGAAUGCCGCACAGAUGACGUUAUCUGAGGAAUAAGCCCCGGCUAAUUACGUGCCAGCAGCCGCGGUAACACGUAAGGGGCGAGCGUUGUUCGGAAUUAUUGGGCGUAAAGGGCGCGUAUGCGGCUGAGCAAGCCUGGUGUGAAAGGCCACAGCUUAACUGUGGGAGUGCGCUGGGAACUGCUUGGCUAGAGUUCAGGAGGGGAAUCUGGAAUUCCUGGUGUAGGGGUGAAAUCUGUAGAUAUCAGGAAGAACACCUGUGGCGAAGGCGAGAUUCUGGCCAUGAACUGACGCUGAGGCGCGAAAGCGUGGGGAGCGAACAGGAUUAGAUACCCUGGCAGUCCACGCUGUAAACGAUGUGCACUAGGUGUCGGCUGUUGUAACGGUCGGUGCCGAAGCAACGCGAUAAGUGCACCGCCUGGGGAGUAUGCUCGCCAGGGUGAA